CCUAGAGUUUGGGCCGCACGCGCGCAUACACUGAACAGAGCCAGCGAGUACUCCCUUGGCCGGAAGUGUGAGUUAAUCUUGUUAAACUCUGUCGUGCUGGGGAUAGAGCAUUGCAAUUAUUGCUCUUCAACGAGGAAUCCCUAGUAAGCGCAAGUCAUCAGCUUGCGUUGAUUACGUCCCUGCCCUUUGUACACACCGCCCGUCGCUACUACCGAUUGAAUGGCUCAGUGAGGCGUCCGGACUGGCCCAGAGAGGUGGGCAACUACCACUCAGGGCCGGAAAGCUCUCCAAACUCGGUCAUUUAGAGGAAGUAAAAGUCGUAACAAGGUCUCCGUUGGUGAACCAGCGGAGGGAUCAUUACCGAGUUUACAACUCCCAAACCCCAAUGUGAACGUUACCAAUCUGUUGCCUCGGCGGGAUUCUCUGCCCCGGGGCGUCGCAGCCCCGGAUCCCAUGGCGCCCGCCGGAGGACCAACUCAAACUCUUUUUUUUCUCCGUCGCGGCUUCCG
rnacentral:rRNA from 1 species